rnacentral:rRNA from 1 species
GACGAACGCUGGCGGCGUGCUUAACACAUGCAAGUCGAACGGAAGGGCCUCUUUCGGGGGGUACUCGAGUGGCGAACGGGUGAGUAACACGUGAGUAACCUGCCCUUGACUUUGGGAUAACUUCAGGAAACUGGGGCUAAUACCGGAUAGGAGCUCCUGCUGCAUGGUGGGGGUUGGAAAGUUUCGGCGGUUGGGGAUGGACUCGCGGCUUAUCAGCUUGUUGGUGGGGUAGUGGCUUACCAAGGCUUUGACGGGUAGCCGGCCUGAGAGGGUGACCGGCCACAUUGGGACUGAGAUACGGCCCAGACUCCGACGGGAGGCAGCAGUGGGGAAUAUUGCACAAUGGGUGGAAGCCUGAUGCAGCAACGCCGUGUGCGGGAUGACGGCCUUCGGGUUGUAAACCGCUUUCGCUCAUGACGAAGCUUUGUGUGACGGUAGUGGGUAAAGAAGCACCGGCUAACUACGUG